CUUGUCGCCUGAAGUUGGGCUCCUGGGAAGGGGCUCUAAAGCGAGGAUUUGGGGCAAGGAGAUUAUGGGAGAGUAGCAGACGUCAGAAGCCCAGUUGUGCAGCCCAGGGCGCUGCGCCCGGUAGACUCAGCAUGCGGAAGGUGGUCCUUGGAAACGCAUCAGCUGUCUCCCUCUGCAUCCUUUUGUCACAUGACCCAGCGGAACCAAUCAAGAUGCCAGUAGGAAUAGGCUUCCAUGAUUGGCUGGAGAGGGAGUCACCCGGCUGCACCAGUGUGGUUGUGGGUGCUGACAACGUGAGCCCCCAGACAGAUCCUUCACCCGGGGACUGUGUCCUGCCUUUAGUACAUGGACAUCACCCUCGUGGCCUGGAGAUGGUUUUCAAUGGCACACAAGGCAGAGUUAAGUAUUACUAAAUCCUAAAGUGAGAGAGACCUGGCUUUGCACUGCUUUUUAAAGAAAGUCUUAAUUGGGUGCUAAUCUGUCUUUACCACCUUCUCUGACGCCCGGACUCUCCCUUUGGACGAAGGGACCCAGAGAGCUCUGGCUCAGGCCCUCAGGCCCACUGUGUUGGAUCACAAGGUAAUGACAGUGCUUUGUGUUUGCUGGGUUAUUUUCUCCUUAUGGCGAAUGCUCUGACUUUUCAUUUAAGUUGUGAUAAACAGUUUCCCUUGAAAUCGAUUAAAGAUUGUACAGAGCAUGUCCAUCGGGAGGAAAAUAUUCAGGAAAUAACAGUGGAGGUCACAGACAGGUGCCGUCUGAAGUUUGGGAGUGGGAUCUGGGGAGCGAGCCCUGGGCAGCCGACCCCGCUUCCUCACUGUUGCUCUCUGACCUCGGGCCGUCCCUCCUCCUCUCCAACCCUCUGUUUUCUCCUCUGAAAACGCUUCCCCUCACCUUGCCUCAUCACAGGGUUUUGGCGAUGGUGAGACGGUGCCUCGGGUGGCCCCGGUCGUAUCUGCUGUCCGUGUCAAAGGCAAGUAGGUGAGAGCAAGUUGAAAAUUUCCCCUGGAGUGAGAGAAGGUGAGUAUUGAUUUAUUAUGCAGAGGAAAAAUCUCUCACCGCCCAGGUCCCUCGGAGGUUUGGGCCGAUCACUUGCAGGAGAGGUUCUGGGACCUCUUUCCCCUCUGCUACUCCCCGACUCCCCAACUCCCCCGGAGGCUUCGCAACACUAGCAGUGGAGUGAGAGGCGUUCAGCCAGGUUCUCAGGUUUGGUGAUGUUGGAGGAACAACUUUUUUUUGGAGACAAGGUCUCACUCUGUAUCCCCAGCUGGCCUUGAACGCUUGGGGGUCCUCCUGCCUCAGCCUCCCCAGUGCUGGGAUUACAGGUGUGCGCCACCACGCCCGGCCUGGGGAGAGUUUUGAAGUGGAUGGUCACAGGGUCUCAGUAUUGAGAUUUACAGACCGAGCUCUGGAGACAUGCACUGCCCCUGGAAUAAUGUGUGAGUGAGUGUGCACGAGUGUGUGUGCUGGGGGGUGCAUGUGUGCGCACGCACGUGCGCGCGCGCACCCACACACACACACACACACACACACACACACACACAGAAGUCCAGCCUGGUGAUCGGGCUGAGCCCCCGACCUUCGGAGGGCGUCUGGGCUGCACCCUCUCCUCCCAUCCCCCUCUCCUCGCGCCAGCCAGCACCCGGUGUUUUCCCUCGAUGACAUUUGGAAUCUUUUAAUAGUUGUCACAUUAGCAUACAUUUGCAUACUUUAUGCUAAUCAGGCUAUUUAUUUUUGAAGAAGCACUUUGACUCCUGGGCCUUUUCUCACCGGGAUCUGUCGUUUCCUUUUUCCUGGAGACUGUUUCCUUGAUGGGCAGGGGACUUGUCCUGCCCCAGCCUAGGGCAGGGACCCCCUCGCCGACACGCACGUGGGAGAGACGGCCGCAGGCCUGGACGCUGAGGGUGCUUGCGCCGGGCUGAGGAGGGUGCUGGUUUCCUUCCUUCCUACUUCGCCCACACAGAGUGGUGUCUGGGCAGGAACUGCCUCGCCCCAAGGACAGGCUCUAAGCCAGGUGAGGUGGUAGCCGCCUGUCAUCCAGCUACUCUGGAGGCAGAGGCAGGAUGAUCUCCAGUCCAAGCCCAGCCUAGGCAACUUAGCCACUGAGCGAGAGUCCUCUCCUUGUUUCCCUGAGCAGCGGGGAGCCAGGCCGGGUCUGUCUUCGGCGGGAGCGCUUGGACUCCAGACUUCACAUGCCUCUGUCUCCCCUCGACCUCUGCUUCUCUGGUACUCAGUUUCUCUCUGCCCACCCUUGGCCCAGGGCUGGAUCCUGGGGUCCUUUCCUCCUCCACCUCCUCAUGUGGCUCCCUCAGUUUCUUUCUUUCUUUCUUUCUUUCUUUCUUUCUUUCUUUCUUUCUUUCUUUCUUUCUUUCUUCCUGUCUUUUUGAGACAGGGUCUCGCUCUGUAGUUCAGGCUGGCCUUGAGCUCACUUUGUAGCCCAGGUAGUCUUGAACUCCCAAGAAUCCUCCUGCCUCAGCCUCCUGAAUGCUGGGGUUACAGGCGUGCGCCACCAUGCCUGGCUCCCUCAGUGCUUUAAAUACAUCUGCACCCUAAGACAACCACAGUCUCCUCUCCAGCCCCAGCACCCCACAGCUCCAAACUCGGGGUGCAGCUGCCCCAGACAUCUCUUCACAGGGCUCUCAGGCAUCGUGCCCAAACAUCUCCCCAGAUCUGCUCUUCCUACGACCCCCUGAAUCUUGGCUGGGCUCAGCACUUGCACCUGCUCAGACAGAAUCUUGGGGCCUGCCCUCUCUUCUUUCUUUCACCCCAAACCUACAGCAAGCCUCAAUACUUCCCCUGUAAGGAGUUCAUGGUACAUGCUUGUGAUCCCAGCACUCUGGAAGGCUGAGGCAGGAGGAUCUCAAAUUCAAACCCAAUCUGGGCAACUCAGCAACUCAAUGAGAUUUUGUCUCAAAGUAAAAAAUAAAAAGGGCUGGGGAUGGAAGUCAGUAAGAAAACCUGGGUUCCAUCCCUAACAGCCCAAAGUAAAAACCAAAAUCAGCACAAUCCUAAUGCCACCCCCCAACCUACCCUCACAAAGCUCUCCAGAGUCCUCUCUCUGGCCCCAAAGAAAGACUUAAACCCAGUCUGGAGCAGUGAUAUUUGCAAUACAUUAAGUUUAAACAUUUUCAAUAAAGGAAAAGAAAUCCGGC
rnacentral:lncRNA from 1 species